AUUGAACGCUGGCGGCAUGCUUUACACAUGCAAGUCGAACGGUAACAGGCCGCAAGGUGCUGACGAGUGGCGAACGGGUGAGUAAUGCAUCGGAACGUGCCCAGUCGUGGGGGAUAACUACUCGAAAGAGUAGCUAAUACCGCAUACGAUCUAUGGAUGAAAGCGGGGGACCGUAAGGCCUCGCGCGAUUGGAGCGGCCGAUGUCAGAUUAGGUAGUUGGUGGGGUAAAGGCUCACCAAGCCAACGAUCUGUAGCUGGUCUGAGAGGACGACCAGCCACACUGGGACUGAGACACGGCCCAGACUCCUACGGGAGUCAGCAGUGGGGAAUUUUGGACAAUGGGCGCAAGCCUGAUCCAGCAAUGCCGCGUGCAGGAAGAAGGCCUUCGGGUUGUAAACUGCUUUUGUACGGAACGAAACGGCUCUGGUUAAUACCCGGGGCUAAUGACGGUACCGUAAGAAUAAGCACCGGCUAACUACGUG
rnacentral:rRNA from 1 species